UUCCGGUUGAUCCUGCCGGACCUGACUGCUAUCGGAUUGAUACUAAGCCAUGCGAGUCAUUGCAGCAAUGCAAGGCAGACGGCUCAGUAACGCGUAGUCAACCUAACCUAUGGACGGGAAUAACCUCGGGAAACUGAGAAUAAUGCCCGAUAGAACACUAUACCUGGAAUGGUUUGUGUUCCAAAUGAUUUAUCGCCGUAGGAUGGGACUGCGGCCUAUCAGUUUGUUGGUGAGGUAAUGGCCCACCAAGACUAUUACAGGUACGGGCUCUGAGAGGAGUAGCCCGGAGAUGGGUACUGAGACACGGACCCAGGCCCUAUGGGGCGCAGCAGGCGAGAAAACUUUGCAAUGUGCGAAAGCACGACAAGGUUAAUCCGAGUGGUUUCUGCUAAAGGAACCUUUUGUUAGUCCUAGAAACACUAACGAAUAAGGGGUGGGCAAGUUCUGGUGUCAGCCGCCGCGGUAAAACCAGCACCUCAAGUGGUCAGGAUGAUUAUUGGGCCUAAAGCAUCCGUAGCCGGCUCUGUAAGUUUUCGGUUAAAUCUGUACGCUUGACGCACAGGCUGCCGGGAAUACUGCAGAGCUAGGGGGUGGGAGAGGUAGACGGUACUCGGGAGGAAGUGGUAAAAUGCUUUGAUCUCUCGAUGACCACCUGUGGCGAAGGCGGCCUACCAGAACACGUCCGACGGUGAGGGAUGAAAGCUGGGGGAGCAGACCGGAUUAGAUACCCGGGUAGUCCCAGCUGUAAACUAUGCAAACUCAGUGAUGCAUUGGCUUGUGGCCAAUGCAGUAUUGCAGGGAAGCCGUUAAGUUGCCGCCUGGGAAGUACGUACGCAAGUAGAA
rnacentral:rRNA from 1 species